CAUCUAUGUAACAUUUGUGACAUUUAUGUAUUUUUAGGGGUACUUUUGGGGUGUUUUAAAAAAGUAUGUUUUUUUUCUGUGCUUGGAGAUAACUGGAUUAGAAUUAGUACAGUUAUUGACCCAAUUAUCUCCCAAGCAGAGGGGAGGGAUUGUGUGCUGUGUGUGGGAGUGUCGUGCCUUGUAACCUUAUGUCACUGGUCUGUGAAGUUGCAAAUCAGUCCCCC